GUGAGGAAUAUUGGUCAAUGGACGAGAGUCUGAACCAGCCAAGUCGCGUGAAGGAAGACGGUUCUAUGAAUUGUAAACUUCUUUUGUGCAGGAAUAAAGUGGGUUACGUGUAACCUUUUGUAUGUACUGUACGAAUAAGGAUCGGAUAACUCCGUGCCAGCAGCCGCGGUAAUACGGAGGAUCCGAGCGUUAUCCGGAUUUAUUGGGUUUAAAGGGUGCGUAGGUGGAUUGAUAAGUCAGCGGUGAAAGUUUGCAGCUUAACUGUAAAAUUGCCGUUGAAACUGUCGGUCUUGAGUGCAAAUGAGGUAGGCGGAAUGUGUUGUGUAGCGGUGAAAUGCUUAGAUAUAACACAGAACUCCGAUUGUGAAAGCAGCUUACUGGGAUGCAACUGACACUGAUGCACGAAAGCGUGGGUAUCAAACAGGAUUAGAAACCCGGGUAGUCC
rnacentral:rRNA from 1 species